AGCUGCAAGUGAACGCAUCAUGACAAUCUCCUUCAGUAAGAGCUGAGUCUGUGGUGACGGUCCACUCACACAUCGAAUCAGUAGCACAGUUUGCUGUUCUGCUUGUUCAUCUGACGGACACGUAAAAGGCGACUGCUCUCUCGUUUCUGUGGAUGUCCAGCGUGAGACACAACUUGAAUCCAACCAGACUGAACACUGACUCCAGGGACAGACGAGCCUGAAGGACACAGCUGUGAUGACCAUGUUCUGUCUCUUAUGACAAAGCAGAAAUAUAAAACACUGGGUUCUUAUCUAAAGUGUAUCAAAUCAGAUCUCCACCAUGUUGCUGCUGAGGACAUCAGGUGCUGCAGUUCUUCAUCUAUGAAGAUGAAAAAACUCACUGUUAAAGAAUGUUUUGUGUUGUGUAUGAAGCACAACAGAUUUCAGAUAGAACCGUUGUACUGUGGUCUUGGUUUGUAUCCUCAUGGUUAAAUGUACAUAUUUUACGUCCCUUCUGAUAAAAGUACUGAAAGAAAUACAACAUUGUAUAAAUAGAUAAAAUGUCUUUCUACCUCAUCAGUAAUAUUCAAGGUGAUAAUCUCCCACAGAGCUAUUGAUAGAAGUCCACAUCAAGUCUCUCGACUUCUCUCAGUGUGAAAACAUAAUUAUAUCAUUAAUUUUAGAACUGUUUACAACACUGAUGUUUGGAGAUUAAAAUCAUAUCUAAACUGUCUAAUUCACUGUAAAACUCCAUGACAUUCGCAGGCCAUCUGUACUUAAAAGACGAACCUGGAUUGAUCUGUCCAAAAAUCCAAAAGUCUCCCUACCCUCUCUAGUGCCCCUGAGCAAGGCACCUCACUCCCCAAACAUCUGCUCCCCGAGCGCCGUACAUGGUCGCUGACUGCUCUGUGUGUCCUGCACCAGAUGGUAAAAAGCAGAGAUUAAAUUUCCCUACCUGCAUGAGUGUGCCUUUGCAUGUCUGUGCAUUUGUUUGGGACGAAUAAAUGGAUCUUAAUCUUAAUCUUUUAAUCUUGAUCAGUUGUCUUCCAGUUGACCAGCAUGACGCUGCAGAUCUCCACCAUGUUGCUGCUGAGGACAUCAGGAGCUGCAUUAAUGAGGAGCAGAAGCGCACUGUUAUGAAUGUUUUGUGUUGUGUAUGAAGCACCACAUAUUUCAGAUAGAACCAAUGUACUGGGGUCUGGGUUUGUAUCCUAAUGGUUAAAUGCACAUACUUUAAAUCGCUUUUGAUAAAACGUGAGAAAGAAAUACAACAUUAUACACAUAGAUAAAAUGUCUUUCUACCUCAUCUGUAAUAUUCAAGGUGAUGAUCUCCCACAGAGCUGUUGAUAACAGUCCACAUCAAGUCUCUCCACUUCCCUCAGUGUGAAAACAUAAUUAUAUAAUUAACUGGAGAAGUGUUUACAACACUGAUGUGUGGACAUUAUAAUCUUAUCUAUACUGUCUAAUUGACUCUACAACUCCAUGACAGACUAAAUUAACAAUGUGAAAAUAGUAAUGGUGGAUAUAUCAGCCUGUAUCAGAAUAAUGGUGAAACAGUUAUUAUCACAUGCAACGUACACGUGUAGCGUAUUGAUAGUAACUUAUUAAAAAAAUAAAUAAAGUCACAACCAAAACAAGA